CAUAUCCAACACAAUCAUAACAUAAAUAUUCUGACUAGACUUAAAGAUAAUGAAAAUAAACAUUUAAAGUUCAACUAGAAUUAUAACAUAAAGGUUUUUUUAAAAUAUUUUGGGUUUAAAGUUUAACUGUAAAUAGAUUUCUUUUUAGACGAUGAUGAUAAAGUACGACCUUAUUCAUUCCUCUCUUUCUCUCAAUCUCUCUCUCUCUCU
rnacentral:lncRNA from 1 species